AGUGAACGCUGGCGGUAGGCCUAACACAUGCAAGUCGAACGGCAGCACAGUAAGAGCUUGCUCUUACGGGUGGCGAGUGGCGGACGGGUGGGGAAUACAUCGGAAUCUACUUUUUCGUGGGGGAUAACGUAGGGAAACUUACGCUAAUACUGCAUACGACCUACGGGUGAAAGCAGGGGAUCUUCGGACCUUGCGCGAUUGAAUGAGCCGAUGUCGGAUUAGCUAGUUGGCGGGGUAAAGGCCCACCAAGGCGACGAUCCGUAGCUGGUCUGAGAGGAUGAUCAGCCACACUGGAACUGAGACACGGUCCAGACUCCUACGGGAGGCAGCAGUGGGGAAUAUUGGACAAUGGGCGCAAGCCUGAUCCAACCAUACCGCGUGGGUGAAGAAGGCCUUCGGGUUGUAAAGCCCUUUUGUUGGGAAAGAAAAGCAGCAGGUUAAUACCCCGCUGUUCUGACGGUACCCAAAGAAUAAGCACCGGCUAACUUCGUG
rnacentral:rRNA from 1 species